CUAAUGUCGAGCAGCCGCACAGGUCAUCUGACCUCUACAGAUCAUCCACUCAAAGUCCUGAUCGAAUCUUCCUUCGCAGGAGUGCUAGCUUGCGUCGAAGGCUCUGGAUAGCUGAUCCAAGCUCCUUUCUUCAGAUCUCCUAGACUUCUUUGGAUCAGAAGAUGAAGCUUUACAAGAAGGUGGUGGUAUGGGAGAUUGAAUAAGACUCACUUUUAUAUUUUUCUUCUCACAAAAUUCAGAGUUGAAACCCUAGAACCCAUCCUACUCCUCGCGCCCAAGAGGAAGAUCACUUCCUCUGUUUCUCACGC
rnacentral:lncRNA from 1 species